rnacentral:lncRNA from 1 species
AAUCUCGUCCUCAAGGUAUGAAAACUUUGCUCAAUCUGAUGCUUCUCUAACAAGCAUAAUUGUUGGGAGGCUUGACCUGAAUAACUCUUUUAGAUGCCCAGAAGAGAAAGAAAAAGCAGAAGAAAAGUGAGAAAAGAAAAAUACAAAGUAGUGCACUAUGAGGAGUAGAAUCUUUGUCUUGGCAAAAAGUGCUUGUGAUAUGUGUCCCUCACCACGUGAUGUGAUGCACAUGGCAUGACACAAUAGGCCAAUU